GCCCCUUUAGCUCAGAUGGUAGAGGUACGACUCACUCACAUCUCUGGUUGUCUAAUCAUUAACUGACAUUCAAACAGCGCGUCACUAGUAUCUCAUACUGUUAUGACGAGGUCGCCAGUUCGACUCUGUCAGGGGGCA